GGCUUUUAAAUGGAAACAAGCUUCAUGGAUCAAUCCCUACAUCACUUGUCAACCUACAAUCACUUUCUUACUUAGAUCUUUUUGCCAACUCCUUGAGUGGAAACUUGCCACCAUUUCAGAUGAAGUCUUUACAAUACAUCCAAGUGAUGCGGCUAGUGGACGCAUUUCGCCCAUGGAUGCAAGGAGACCACGUGAUGAUAGUGAUCCUAAUGAUAGUCGUUGAUUUGGUUGCAAAUUGUCUUGAAUAUUCAAUUAGAUGAUGUAAUUGUGUGGUUG